rnacentral:rRNA from 1 species
GACGAACGCUGGCGGCGUGCCUAAUACAUGCAAGUCGAACGCUUUUUCUUUCACCGGAGCUUGCUCCACCGAAAGAAAAAGAGUGGCGAACGGGUGAGUAACACGUGGGUAACCUGCCCAUCAGAAGGGGAUAACACUUGGAAACAGGUGCUAAUACCGUAUAACACUAUUUUCCGCAUGGAAGAAAGUUGAAAGGCGCUUUUGCGUCACUGAUGGAUGGACCCGCGGUGCAUUAGCUAGUUGGUGAGGUAACGGCUCACCAAGGCAACGAUGCAUAGCCGACCUGGGAGGGUGAUCGGCCACACUGGGACUGAGACACGGCCCAGACUCCUACGGGAGGCAGCAGUAGAGAAUCUUCGGCAAUGGACGAAAGUCUGACCGAGCAACGCCGCGUGAGUGAAGAAGGUUUUCGGAUCGUAAAACUCUGUUGUUAGAGAAGAACAAGGAUGAGAGUAAAAUGUUCAUCCCUUGACGGUAUCUAACCAGAAAGCCACGGCUAACUACGUGCCAGCAGCCGCCGCCG